rnacentral:rRNA from 1 species
GACAGAGGGGGCAAGCGUUGCUCGGAAUCACUGGGCGUAAAGCGCACGUAGGCGGAUCUUUAAGUCAGGGGUGAAAUCCUGGAGCUCAACUCCAGAACUGCCCUUGAUACUGGGGAUCUCGAGUCCGGGAGAGGUGAGUGGAACUGCGAGUGUAGAGGUGAAAUUCGUAGAUAUUCGCAAGAACACCAGUGGCGAAGGCGGCUCACUGGCCCGGUACUGACGCUGAGGUGCGAAAGCGUGGGGAGCAAACAGG